rnacentral:rRNA from 1 species
UGGAGGAAAGUAGGGGAUCGAAAGACCUUAUGCUUUUGGAGCGGCCGAUGUCUGAUUAGCUAGUUGGUGGGGUAAUUGCCUACCAAGGCGACGAUCAGCAGUUGGUCUGAGAGGACGACCAGCCACACUGGGACUGAGACACGGCCCAGACUCCUACGGGAGGCAGCAGUGGGGAAUUUUGGACAAUGGGCGCAAGCCUGAUCCAGCAAUGCCGCGUGAGUGAAGAAGGCCUUCGGGUUGUAAAGCUCUUUCAGUUGAGAAGAAAAGAUUGUAACUAAUAAUUACAGUUCAUGACGGUAUCAACAGAAGAAGCACCGGCUAACUACGUGCCAGCAGCCGCGGUAAUACGUAGGGUGCAAGCGUUAAUCGGAAUUACUGGGCGCAAAGGGUGCGCAGGCGGUUCUGUAAGUCAGAUGUGAAAUCCCCGGGCUUAACCUGGGAACUGCGUUUGAAACUACAAAGCUAG